GGAGGUUGUAGACACCCAGAUGAAGAGAUGGACUGUGAAAAUUCUGAUGACACACAGAUGAGACAGGGUGGAAAGGUAAAAGAUUCUUAAUCACUUUCAGGUCCUAAGGGUUAACAAAGGCACAUGUGAAGGCAGGACAUAAUCACCAACCUGGGAAGAACCUAGCAGACUUUAGGAGGCCUGAAUAGCUCUUGUCACUUGUCCUUAGUGUCAUUGUCAAGCCUGACUCUACCACUGGAUACAUGCCUUGGUGCUUCAGUACUGGUCAGAGUGCUUGGGUGCAUCAAUCUUGGAGCCAGACUCCUUGGAAACAUGGUGGUGGAGUUGCUGUAAGCAAUAGACUUGGAAUGGACUUCAGCAAGAAACUGGAAACAAUAGAUAACAGAGAAAAGUCCACAACCACAAAAAGUACAGGCAAUUGAAAUAAUUAAAUGGUGAAGAAAAAGAUACAAGAAAACCAAGUGUGGGAACAUGUACAUAGAUUGCCAACUUGCCUUUGUGGAAGAGACGUGAGAUGGACAGGAAAAGUAAUUUAUGAACUAUGGACUCUAAAAGAGAUAAGAGAUUUUUCUGCCUCUUCAAGAAGAACUAGAAAACCAGAAGAUACCUGCUUCAAUUCUGAAACCAUCUUCAUUUGUCUUAGUCCAUAGAUACCUUUGCUUAGCUAUUUGUUAACGUAUCCAGAAAGAUCUAAGGUGUAUACUGCACACAGAGUUGUGUCGUGUAGAUAAUUAACUAGUUACUUGACCAAGAAAUGUUUUUGUGUGUGACUUGGGGAGAAAAAAAAAAGUUAGACUUCGUUCUAUUUUAAUGCAAAAGUCCUUUUUGGAUUCUGUGCUGCUUAUGAGCACUUUCAUCUCUGAAUUUGUGCAAGGCUGUAUAUUGUUUUGCAGUAAAGAAACAAGCAAAGAACAGAUCAGAAUUUAUAAAAGUGAGAUUAGGAAUAUGUUGCAAUUUACUUAUUUUUAUUAGCUUUUGGUCAUUACAUGUUGCAUUUUCUUUUUAAGUAUCUGGCAUGUUUUUCAGCUUAACCUUUUCUAUUUGUCUUUUUUUUUUUUUAACUGAAAUGUGUGUGUUUAGUUCAAAUAAAAAAGGCACUUAGUAUAGACUUUCUUUGGUC
rnacentral:lncRNA from 1 species